GUGCCAGCAGCCGCGGUAAUACGUAGGUCGCAAGCGUUAUCCGGAUUUACUGGGCGUAAAGCGUCCGUAGCUGGUUUGAUAAGUUCGCUUUUAAAUAUCCUGGCUCAACCAGGAAAAGGGAGCGAAUACUGUCAUUCUAGAGUAUGAUAGGGGAUAGUAGAAUUUCAGGUGGAGGGGUGAAAUCCGUUGAUAUCUGAAGGAAUACCAAAAGCGAAGGCAGCUAUCUAUAUCUUUACUGACGGUCAUGGACGAAAGUCUGGGUAGCGAACGGGAUUAGAUACCCCCGUAGUCC
rnacentral:rRNA from 1 species